AUUUACAUAAUAUAAUUAGUAUAGUUAAUUUCCAAUUAAAAAGUUUAAAAAUUUUAAUGUAAAUA
rnacentral:tRNA from 1 species